rnacentral:rRNA from 1 species
AUACGGAGGAUCCGAGCGUUAUCCGGAUUUAUUGGGUUUAAAGGGUGCGCAGGCGGCCAUUUAAGUCAGCGGUUAAAUCGUGGGGCUCAACCCCAUUCUGCCGUUGAAACUGGGUGGCUUGAUUGCGGUCGAGGUUGGCGGAAUUCGUUGUGUAGCGGUGAAAUGCAUAGAUAUGACGAAGAACACCGAUUGCGGAGGCAGCUGACCAGACCGCAAAUGACGCUCAUGCACGAAAGUGCGGGGAUCGAACAGGAUUAGAUACCCUGGUAGUCCGCACAGUAAACGAUGAAUACUUGUUUUCGGCGAUAUAAUGUCGGAGGCAAAGCGAAAGCGAUAAGUAUUCCACCUGGGGAGUACGCCGGCAACGGUGAAACUCAAAUGAAUUGACGGGG